ACUGUCUAGCUCUGUUCCCCAGGAAACCAUGAAUGUCAGAAACCACAGAAUGUCAGCUGUGUUACUAGGCAACAUGGCUUAUGGUAAAAAUGACCCAUUGGUAAAUUGCUUGGGUCUGAGAGGGACUAAAAAUACCUGGAGAGUGGCUGAAACUUUGGACUUCUCCUAGUGUGGUGACUCCUGUAAUCGAGCAUGUACCCCGUGGGGAUCCUAGAAACCUUGCUCAUGGGUGGUCAUACAAGGCUCCUGCAGAGAAGAGACGCUCAUUCAUUUCUAACCUCAUCACCACCAACAUAGUAUAAUGCUUAUGAAAAGGUGAACAAACUGGGACUGUGGCACAUCCAUACAAUGAAUACUAAGUACUCAGUAAUAAAAAGAAAUGAACUACUGA